CCAUGGCACGUGAUCCGGCGCCGCAGGGGUCCCCCAGAUUCAAUUCUAGCUCUCGGGCUGGUGGGGCGGUUGCGGGCGCCUCUCCAAGGGAGCUGAUUCAUUGUCUGGUAGGCCCUCUGCAGGGCCCAGCUGGCGGCCCAGUGGCAAAGCGCCGUUGGUCCUCCGUUUGAAAACCAUGAUCGCGGUGUUACAAUGUCCAUCUGCAUAAGCCUGAGAUCAUAUUGAAAUCCUGCCCAGAAUAUGGAGCUUCAAAGAAGACUAGAUCCAUAUAAAGAAACAGAAACUCAAAGAAGUAACCAGGUCUGUAAACCCCGCACUUUGAGAGGCUGAGGCAGAAGGGAUUGUUUGAAGCCAGGAGAUUGAGACCAGCCUGCACAAUAUAAGGAGACCUUGUCUCUGCAAAAAAUUUAAAAAACAAAAGAAACUCAAAGAGGCCUCUCCUUCCUGACUCAGCCUUGGUUUACCACUGAGAUUUGCCAUAUACCAUACAGAUGAACAAAAACGUUACCAAUUAUUGGCAGGUUUUUUUUUUGUUUUUUUGUUUUUUUUUUUUUAACCAAAUGUCAAGUUGGUGAUGAAGUUAUCUGGAAAUGUCAACCAAACCCAGAAGACUACACAAGACUACAGGAGAAGGCACUCUGGGUAACAGAUUCAAGUUUUCGCAUCAGUUUGUUCGAUGAAGGAUCACAACAUAGACAGUACGGCUUUCUUGCUUCCUCUUCGGUGGUUCCUUGUCUCCCACCUCCAGGACAGACAGGAGUCCUUGACAUCGUGGGAGAGGCAUUGUGGCAAUACUGCAUAGAAGGGAAGCUGGGCUUCGGGCUGCGCCUCCUGAGAGUGGAUUGUCUGAGGUGCCAGCAGGACGUCCGUCAGAUUUCAGGUGGAGGAGAGAGAAAACGGCUUGUGACCUUGCAGGUUUCAAAAGAAGAGCAAACAAGAAGGGCAGAUAAGGAGACGCCAGUGAGAUUCUAUGGCCUGUCAUUAGGGAUGGGCUUCCCAGCUAUCAAAUGUUUGCUCACAUAAUAAAAUGGUGGCAGAGCCCAAAAUGUUGUCA